UACGAAGGGGGCUAGCGUUGCUCGGAAUUACUGGGCGUAAAGGGCGCGUAGGCGGAUAUUUAAGUUAGAGGUGAAAGCCCAGGGCUCAACCCCUGGAAUAGCCUUUAAUACUGGAUAUCUUGAGUUCGGGAGAGGUGAGUGGAACUCCGAGUGUAGAGGUGAAAUUCGUAGAUAUUCGCAAGAACACCAGUGGCGAAGGCGGCUCACUGGCCCGGUACUGACGCUGAGGUGCGAAAGCGUGGGGAGCAAACAGGGAUUAAGAA
rnacentral:rRNA from 1 species